GCAGGUAAGGGGAGGGACCAUAGAUUCCAUCUCUUGCUAGGGGAGCGGUAAGGUUCUAGAAGAACAUGUGAGACUGGAAAUAUUGUCAUGGCUAAUUUUAGAAAAUACAAUCCCCAUAUUAUGUGUCUGGUCCUAGGCGAAGCACCCCCUCACAUUAUUUCAUUCCAUCCUGUACUGUCUUUACAGAUGACAAAACUGAAGCUUGGAGAUGUCACAUCACUUGCCCAAAGUCACCCAGUCACUAAGGGGACAGGACUGGAGUUUGAUUCCAGUAGUCUGAUUCCAUGUAACUGGCAAGAACCUGGCCGAGCCAAAUGCAGCCAAACAAGACUUGGAAGUGGUAGAGAAUGGUCUUCCGAGGUUAAGCCAGAGAGUGGGCAGCCAGAGAUGAGAGCUGCCUGCUCUGGGCCCACUCACAGCCUCUGGCCUCACUAGGGUUAGCCUUAGUUUCCCAGCUGGCUCUAAGACCAUGAUUUUAUUCUAAUUUCAAGGCUAUAAGAAUAUAAGAACAUGAGGUCAUGCCUGUAAUCCCAGCAGUUUGGAAGGCUGAGGCAGGAAGAUCACCUGAGCCCAGGAGUUCGAGACCAGCCUGGGCAACAGAGUGAGACCCCUUCUCUACAAAAAAAACUUUUGAAACUUACAGGGUGUAUUGUCACAUGCCUGUGGUCCCAGCUAUUUAGGAGGCUGAGGUAGGAGGAUUGUUUGAGCCCAGGAGGUUGAGGCUGCAGUGAACCAAGAUCAUACCACUACACUACAGCCUGGGUAAUACAAAGAGACCCUGCUUUUAAAAAGAGGAAGAAGGAGAAGGAGAAGGAGAAGGAGGAGUUUGAACACGCAUAAGCAGAAAACACAAUUUGCCCUGAGCAGGCCCUGGAAGCCUGUUCUUGGCUCUGGAGAGCUCUAAAAUCUGGAUGGAGCUUCCCUGCAGGGUUGGGUGCAGGCCAGUGUGUGGGCAGAUGGAAGGGAUAGUGGAAAGCACUUAUUCCAGAAACCAUCAAUGUGGUGCUUAGAUGCCCGGCAAGGGAACUGUAUGGCUAGAUGUUCCAGGCUGCACAAAUCUGAAAUCUAAAGACAGCUUUCUAAGUCGAGCCAAUAGCCCCUUUAUUUUGAUCAAUAUUUCCUAGGAGAGAAGGCCAGGUCAGUACAGAAACCUAGAUGGUCUCUGGGGACCACUGGUUUCCCUGCCCAGUGGCCGAUCAUCAACUUCCGCUGUGGACAGCAUUCAGUAGUUUUCCAGAGUGCUGGCAAGGAAGACUUUACUUGAGGAUUGGACACCAGGAAAAUUGCCAGAAUAAUGUGUGUGUGUGUGUGUGUAGGGGGGAGGGGUUUGUAACAGGAUGUAUUUAUUGUGUGUGUUUGUUUUUGUGUUUUCUUUUCUCUUUGCUUUUUUGUUUCUUUUCUCUUUGGAAACCAUCUCAAAUUGUGUAUUCAUUUUUUGAUAAACUAUCUCAGGCAUUAAAAUGAUAGAUAAUACAAACACUGGAAAUAACCCAAAUGCCUGCCAACAGGUGAAAGGAUGGACAUAUUCUUUUUUUUUUUUUUGAGACAGGGUCUCAGUUGCCCACACUGCAGUGCAGUGGCACAAUCACAGUUCACUGCAGCCUCCACAUCCUGGGCUUAAGGCCUCCUGCCUCUGCCUCCUGAGUACUUAGGACUACAGGUGUGGGCCACCACUUUUAGCCAAUUUUUUUUUUUUUUUUUUUUUUGUGGCGUCAGGGUUUCACUAUGUUGCCA
rnacentral:lncRNA from 1 species